rnacentral:rRNA from 1 species
UAAGGAAUAUUGGACAACGGAGGCAACUCUGAUCCAGCCACGCCGCGUGAAGGAAUAAGGCCCUAUGGGUUGUAAACUUCUUUUAGACGGGACAAAACCCCUUUACGUGUAAAGGGUUGAUGGUACUGUCAGAAUAAGCAUCGGCUAACUUCGUGCCAGCAGCCGCGGUAAUACGAAGGAUGCAAGCGUUAUCCGGAAUUAUUGGGUUUAAAGGGUGCGUAGGCGGACUAAUAAGUCAGUGGUGAAAGCCUGCAGCUUAACUGCAGAAUUGCCAUUGAUACUGUUAGUCUUGAGUACAGUUGAGGUAGGCGGAAUGUGUCAUGUAGCGGUGAAAUGCUUAGAUAUGACACAGAACACCGAUUGCGAAGGCAGCUUGCUAAGCUGUAACUGACGCUGAGGCACGAAAGCGUGGGGAGCAAACAG